AACGCUUUACCACGCUACCAACCUAGUUUAACCAUAACAAGUUACAAGCACCUUUUUACUAAUUUAUUUUGGAGCUAAGUGCAAAUCUUUUAUUUGCCCCUGGACCGAUUUAUUUUCUCGUUUUGACUAAGGGAACCAAGUUCAAUCUACUGGACAUGGUUGGCCACGCCAAAGAGCGCCUCUUGCGCCAGUGCACGUGGUGAUCACGCUUGCGUCAUGGCUGAGUGCGUGCUCUGGCUUGUUCUGGCCACUGUUCUCGUCUCCUCCCUCCUCGUAUCGACCUCCAUUUGUGUCCUGGAGCUCGCCCGUGCUCGAUUGCAUCACCCUGCAUCGGUGCCUUGUCGUGGUUAGCCAUAAAUGAGCCGCUAGCUCCAUGCCCGUGUGAUGCCCAGCCACUGACCUCCAUUAGAGCACCGCUCAAGCUCGCUAACGUGCUCUAGAGCCCUCCCCUCGACUAUAUAAGUGUGCCCCGAGCCCUGCCACAGCUCAUUCACUCCUCACUUGCCUCCCCAGCCCACCGGAGUCCUCGGCCCUCUCUUCUUUUCGCCGGAGUUCGCCAUGACCGCCUUGGUUCCUCCUCGGUUCCGGUGAACCUAGCCCCUCCCCUCUCCUCCAGAGCUGUCCACCGCGUUCCCCUCAUCCCCGAAGUUCGCCCCACCACCUCGCCCUUCUCCGGAGUCCACUCUGGCCGCGUGCCCCGCAAGUCAGGCCGUCGCGCCUGCCUCUCUGCAUCACUCCACCUCGAGCUAUCCCGAGCUCCUCCUCCCUGUACGACCCCACCACCGUCCUCCCCGUGCUCCGCUAAGUCGCCCCAUCCCAUCAUCCCUCGCCAGAGUGCCCUGCGUCACCGGAGAGCAUCACCACCGCCGCCUCUCUGUCCGCCUCGGGCGCCGCCCCUCCCCUCCUCCCCGCGCCUCUCCGGCGUCCGGUUCCAAUCUGAACGGGUGCGGAGCGCCAUCCUGAAGCUUCCGGUGCCCUCGCCUUGGCCUGGAGUGGCCGGAGUCGGCGGGGCCAGCGCCGGCAGCGCCCCUGUCCUCCUCCUCUGCUUCCUGUCGUGGCCAGGCACGGGAGGAAGAAGAAAACAGGGGGAGGAGAGAGAAGGAUAAGGUGGGCCCCGCAUGUCAUCCUCUGCUCAUUGACCCCGCCACUGCCACGUCACGAACCCAUUGGUGAUAAAAUCUUCACAGAUUGGUCCUUGAUCUUCAACUCCUCACAACUCCGCAACCGUAACUACGAUUGAGCCCCCUCCAAGAGAAAACCGUCGGACGUUUUGUUCCGCGUCUUCACCGCACUUCUUCCUGGAGUCUCCGUCACCCUAGGCAAGCCACAAUACCCACUUGCAUGAUAGUCAUGUAGUAGCCAUGGUUUUCAACUUGAAUAUUUAUUAAAUGUUUGCUUGUUUAAAAUAUGGUUAUAGUUGUUUCAGCAAUGCUUGUGGAUGAAUGCUUACUUUCUUACUAUGUUGUUAUGCACCUGGUUGGCAUGCCCUGCUAGUUGUUAGUAUUCCUUUCGUAUGCUUAUGCUUGCUAGUAGUACAUAUUGAUGUUGGUAAUGGUCUUCUGUGCAUGACUGCCGUCUGUCUCGAGUACAGUUGUUAUGCAUGUUCCAUUGCAUCCAGUGGGUUAAAUGCUUGCAUGAUGGCAUUGUUGAUAUGUUCUUGCAUGACGUUUAUUGUUGAUUCUAGUGGUCAUGUUAUGCUAUGAGUAGUGUUGUACUGGUAAAAUUCAUGCUCUUCAUUAUGCCAUGCUCAGUUGGAGAUGAUUCAUUGUUGAUAUAGUGGAUAGGUAUGUUGCACCCGUGCUUAUGUUAAUCUCAUGCUUAUGCAUUGUAAUUGCAUCAUGUAUUUUAUCAUGGCUCAGCAUAUUUGCAUUCAAGUUUAACCGGAUUAAAUUAAACUUGAACAACUGUUGGCUGAGUCAUGGUGCCACCAUAUCGAACU